rnacentral:rRNA from 1 species
GAUGAACGCUGGCGGCGUGCUUAACACAUGCAAGUCGAACGAUGAAGCCCAGCUUGCUGGGUGGAUUAGUGGCGAACGGGUGAGUAACACGUGAGUAACCUGCCCUUAACUCUGGGAUGAGCCUGGGAAACUGGGUCUAAUACCGGAUAGGAGCGCCUACCGCAUGGUGGGUGUUGGAAAGAUUUAUCGGUUUUGGAUGGACUCGCGGCCUAUCAGCUUGUUGGUGAGGUAAUGGCUCACCAAGGCGACGACGGGUAGCCGGCCUGAGAGGGUGACCGGCCACACUGGGACUGAGACACGGCCCAGACUCCUACGGGAGGCAGCAGUGGGGAAUAUUGCACAAUGGGCGAAAGCCUGAUGCAGCGACGCCGCGUGAGGGAUGACGGCCUUCGGGUUGUAAACCUCUUUCAGUAGGGAAGAAGCGAAAGUGACGGUACCUGCAGAAGAAGCACCGGCUAACUACGUG